rnacentral:lncRNA from 1 species
AUGCAGCCCACGUAUGCACAGGGGAAUCGCCGUCAGCUGGAGGUGCUGGGCCAGGCACCCUCGACCCCAUUGCUUCGGUCUCGGGGCCCUCGACCCCGUUGCUUUGGGAGUUUUGCAGGUCAAAAAAAUGCAGGAGGGGAAGCCCCAUCCAUGGACGUGCCGCUGUGCCCCCUCCGUGGCGUGCCCUGGGCAGGAUUUUGCGGCUGUGCUGGAUGGGGCUGGCAUUUCGGGUGGGGAUGCAUCCGUGGGGCGAUGCAGAGCGCCGAUGGAAGCAGCAACCCAGCUCCCAGCCCGCUUCUGCUCCCUGGGAGCAGCCAGAGGUCGGCCAGAAAUGCACAGGGGCUCCCACGUCCCCCCUCCAGGAAGCCCCCCAGGGCAUUUGGGUGGCGCUGCCCCUGCCACCAGUACGGCCAGCGGGGUCUGCGCCCCGUGGCCAAGGGGACAGAGCUCAAACCCCUGGGGGCUCCUCUUGCUGCAGGACCCCCACCCCUGCUGCCUCCCAGGAGAUGCCAGCAGGGAGCACCACGCCGCACGGGACACCCUGGGGACACCGCUGUCCCCAUGCUCUCCCCACCACCUCCUCACACACCCCCCUGGCAGAAGGUCGCCCCUUUCCCAGGGGACACACGGGGGGUCCCCAUCACCAGCUGCUCCACCGGGAGCCCCGCAGUGCGCUCAGCACCCCCAGCUCUCCACCGCUCACCUCUCCACCCUUGGGACCGUUUCCAGCUGCCACCCCAAAUUGCGUGGGAUUUGGGGACAGCCUCCCCAUGCCACCUCUCCGAGGCCCCCAGAGGUGGAGGCGCAGCCCCCCAGGAGCUGCAGCUCUGGUUCCUUGGUCUGCUUCUCGCGCCUGUUUCCCGUGAAAUCCCCGGGGACGGCAGCUGCUGGCGGUGGGCUCAGCCAGGGCAUCUGGGGCAGGAUGAAAGGGGCACCCUGGGGGCUCAGCCCCCAGCCUCCCUCCCCAUUACCACCAGGAGCCCAGCACUGACCCUGCCCCUCCUGCAGGCUCCCCCCAGCUCCUAA